CAACAGUUAGACAUGACUAAGUUCCAGAGAAAGUAAGUCACUGCCUCAGAAGCAAAGAUUUCCUGAUACUGACAAUACAGUUCUGUGAUGGGCCAGCCAAGUCCUUAUCAGCAAUCUGGGGAUAAAUACAGAUGUCUGGCCAGCUGAUGACCAGUUGGAGAGGCACCAGAAUAACCAAACAGACAUCUGAGCAUAAUAUGAUUCAAGCUGGAGAGAAAACCUAUGAAUGUCCUGAGUGUAGAAAACCCCUCAGCAAGAAUUCAUUCAUUAUUGUUCAUCAGAUCGCUCAUACGGGAGAGAAAUCUUAUGAAUGCAUGGAAUGCAGAAAAGCACUCAACAAGAAGGCACACCUCCGUAUCCAUCAGAGAAUGCACACAAGAGACAAACUCUUUGAAUGUAAUGAAUAUAGUGAGUCCUUCAGAGAGAAAUCAGCACUGCAUAUACAUGAAAGAGCUCAUACAUGGGGAAAAACCAUAUGUAUGAAAUGAGUGUGGCAAAACCUUCCAAGAAAACACAAAGCUCAUCAUACAUUAGAGAAAGCACACUGAAGAAAAUCCCUGUGAAUGUUCAGAAUGUGGGAAAAUCUUCAACCAAAAGGCACACCUCAGUGUACAUCAGAGAACACACACACAGGAGAGAAACCUCUUGAAUGUAAUGAAUGUGGCAUUUCCUUUAGAGAGAAGUCAACACUGCAUAGACAUCGAAUAAUUCGUACAGGAGAGAAACUUUAUGUGUGUUCAGAGUGUGGAAGAGAUUUCACCCUUAGGCUGAGCCUCAGUGCUUAUCAGAGAAUUCAUACACAAGAAAAAAAUGGAUGCCUGUACUGUAUGUGGAAAAGACUUCUCCCGGAAGUCACAUCUCAUGUUACAUCAGGAAGCUCAUACAGGAGAAAAUUUUUAGAAAUCCUACAAAUACAAUGAAUGUGACAAAACUUUCUUCCAGAAAUCAUAUCUCAUUAUUCAUCAGAGAGUUCACACAGGGGAGAAACCCUACAAAUGUGAUACGAGUAGUAGAGCCUUCAGAGAUAAGUCAAAACUCACUAUACGUCAGCAAACUCACAUAGAGAAACCCUAGACUGUCCUGAAUGUGAGAAAAAUUUUCCUGGAGUCAAAGCUCAGCACUGAUUAAGGAACUCAGAGAGAAGACAAACUUUAGUAAAGAACUGAAAAUGAAAAAUCCUUCACAGAAAGUCAAAGAACAGGAAAAUGUAAAAGGAGGGUGAGGGGUCAUGCUUUAGCUAGGGUGAUCAGGGGAGGCUUUUGAGCUUAGACCUGAAAACGAGGUGCCAACCAUACUGGAGGUGGAGGAAGAGCAUUCCAGGAAGAAGGAAUAGCAAGAGCCAAGGUCCUGAAGCAAAAAACCCUUGGCCUUUGUACUUGUAUCAUGGGUAUAUACUGAAGGACUAUUUUACACCAGAGAGGCUGUUCAAGACUAAAAUCUUUUGAAGCCUUGAAUAUAUGAGAGCUGUCAGUCAGAAACCAAACCUCACCAUAAUAUGGUCACAGAUAUUAAGGAAAACCCAAUUUAAUUAAUGUCA